CAGCCGUAAACAAUGUGCGUUAGGUGUGUCGGUAACCACGCGUUACUGAUGCGCCGAAGAGAAAUCGUGAAACGCACCACCUGGGAAGUACGGUCGCAAGGCUGAAACUUAAAGGAAUUGGCGGGGGAGCACCACAACAGGUGGAGCCUGCGGUUUAAUUGGAUUCAACGCCGGACAUCUCACCGGAUAAGACAGCUGAAUGAUUGUCAAUCUGAAGGUUUUACAUGACUAGCUGAGAGGAGGUGCAUGGGCGUCAGUGACU
rnacentral:rRNA from 1 species